UACGAAGGGUGCAAGCGUUACUCGGAUUUACUGGGCGUAAAGCGCGCGCAGGCGGAUUGGAAAGUCAGAUGUGAAAUCUCAGGGCUCAACCCUGAAACUGCGUCUGAAACUCUCAAUCUAGAGUCUUGGAGGGGGAAGUGGAAUUUCGCAUGUAGGGGUAAAAUCCGUAGAGAUGCGAAGGAACACCAGUGGCGAAGGCG
rnacentral:rRNA from 1 species